rnacentral:rRNA from 1 species
GCGGUUUCUUAAGUCUGAUGUGAAAGCCCCCGGCUCAACCGGGGAGGGUCAUUGGAAACUGGGAAACUUGAGUGCAGAAGAGGAGAGUGGAAUUCCACGUGUAGCGGUGAAAUGCGUAGAGAUGUGGAGGAACACCAGUGGCGAAGGCGACUCUCUGGUCUGUAACUGACGCUGAGGAGCGAAAGCGUGGGGAGCGAACAGGAUUAGAUACCCUGGUAGUCCACGCCGUAAACGAUGAGUGCUAAGUGUUAGGGGGUUUCCGCCCCUUAGUGCUGCAGCUAACGCAUUAAGCACUCCGCCUGGGGAGUACGGUCGCAAGACUGAAACUCAAAGGAAUUGACGGGGGCCCGCACAAGCGGUGGAGCAUGUGGUUUAAUUCGAAGCAACGCGAAGAACCUUACCAGGUCUUGACAUCCUCUGACAACCCUAGAGAUAGGGCUUUCCCUUCGGGGACAGAGUGACAGGUGGUGCAUGGUUGUCGUCAGCUCGUGUCGUGAGAUGUUGGGUUAAGUCCCGCAACGAGCGCAACCCUUGAUCUUAGUUGCCAGCAUUCAGUUGGGCACUCUAAGGUGACUGCCGGUGACAAACCGGAGGAAGGUGGGGAUGACGUCAAAUCAUCAUGCCCCUUAUGACCUGGGCUACACACGUGCUACAAUGGACAGAACAAAGGGCUGCAAGACCGCAAGGUUUAGCCAAUCCCAUAAAUCUGUUCUCAGUUCGGAUCGCAGUCUGCAACUCGACUGCGUGAAGCUGGAAUCGCUAGUAAUCGCGGAUCAGCAUGCCGCGGUGAAUACGUUCCC